rnacentral:rRNA from 1 species
AUGAGCUCCUUCUUGUCAGCACCGCGGGACGCGGACGUCGUCCGGCAGCGGCAGGGCAACAAGAAGGCGGACGCCCCGGCGCUCGACCUGCUCGACGACUACUGGUUCUUCAGCAACUCCCUCGGCGGCAGCAGCAGGGACGACGCCGCCAGGGGGAGGAGCAGGCCGCCGCUGCUGCCCAAGUCGCCGUCCACGUCCUCGGCCGGUGCGGGUGCGUCCGGGCGGACGGCCAGGGCGAACGCGUCCGGGUCCAGGAGGCUCCUCCGGACGCCGUCGCUCCCGGCGCCUCGCAUCGGGAUGGACCCCUCGUCGCCCAAGGACAACGAGCUGAUAGUGGAGGAGGACGCUGGCUGUGGCGGCGAUCAGCAGGAGGCCGAGGUGGAGGACGACGACAUGAACUGGAGCAAGAUUUACGAGGGCGUCCUGCGCACCAGGAUCGCCGAGGAAGGCCGCGGGUCGUCGGCGCUCAACCGGGCGCCGUCCAUGCCGGUCACGUCGUCCGCGACCAUGGGUGACGGCCACGGCCGCCGACCCGCCGGGGUCACCGAGUCAACGCCGAGCAUGCCCAGGCUCAGGCACUCCCACAGCACGCUCGAGAGGCACUACCGCUCGAGCACGCCCACCAAGCCUGACCGGACGCCGAGGAUGACAGGCGGCGGCAGCAGAGCGGAGCGUGGCCCGCCGCGGCGCGACCUCCGAUCGUUCAGCGCGAACCAGCAGCCGGCCCUCGUCCGGGACAAGAGCGGCUUGCAGGACAAGAUGUGGAAGAGCUCGAGCGCGCUGGAGUCGAUCGAGGUGCAGGGGUUCAAGGACCUGGGUUUCGUGUUCGACCAGGAGGAGCUCAGAGAGAGUCUGGCGGACGUCCUCCCGGGCCUCCGCGACGACAAGGCCAACAAGCCCCACAAGAGCUCCGGCUCCGUCUCCGGGUCCGGCAGCACCAGCGACAACGACGACUCGAGCGCGAACGCCAACGGCAUCGGCAUCGGCACCAGCAACGCCGCGUGCAAUGACGGCGGCGACGGGAUCGUGCGGCGGCCGUACCUGUCGGAGGCGUGGCAGCACGGGGCGCGGUCGGCGCCCCCCACGGCGGCGGCGGCGAUAAGGCUGCAGCAGGCGGACGCGAGGUCCGCGGCGGAGAUGAAGGACCAGAUUCGCAUGUGGGCGCAGGCCGUCGCGUGCAACGUCCGACAAGAGUGUUAA